CCUACGGGUGGCAGCAGUAGGGAAUUUUCGGCAAUGGGGGGAACCCUGACCGAGCAACGCCGCGUGAACGAAGAAGUUAUUCGUAAUGUAAAGUUCUUUUAACAGGGAAGAAAGAGAAAUUUGAUGGUACCUGAAGAAUAAGCUCCGGCUAACUACGUGCCAGCAGCCGCGGUAAUACGAAGGGAGCGGGCGUUAUCCGGAAUUAUUGGGCGAAAAGGGUGCGUAGAUGGCUUAGUAAGUCUUUUGUAAAAAUGCUGGCGCAAACCCAGAAGGGCAAAAGAUACUGCAAAGCUGGAGUAUGACAGAGGCAGGUGGAACUACAUGUGUAGCGGUAAAAUGCGUAGAUAUAUGGAAGAACACCAGUGGCGAAGGCGGCUUGCUGGAUCGAUACUGACGUUGAGGCACGAAAGCGUGGGGAGCAAACAGGAUUAGAUACCCGUGUAGUC
rnacentral:rRNA from 1 species